rnacentral:rRNA from 1 species
GACGAACGCUGGCGGCGUGCUUAACACAUGCAAGUCGAACGAUGAACCCGGAGCUUGCUCCGGCGGAUUAGUGGCGAACGGGUGAGUAACACGUGAGUAACCUGCCCUUGACUCUGGGAUAACUGCUAGAAAUGGUAGCUAAUACCGGAUACGACCCUCGGCGGCAUCGCCAGGGGGUGGAAAGAAUUUCGGUCAAGGAUGGACUCGCGGCCUAUCAGCUAGUGGGUGAGGUAACGGCUCACCAAGGCGACGACGGGUAGCCGGCCUGAGAGGGUGACCGGCCACACUGGGACUGAGACACGGCCCAGACUCCUACGGGAGGCAGCAGUGGGGAAUAUUGCACAAUGGGCGCAAGCCUGAUGCAGCAACGCCGCGUGAGGGAUGACGGCCUUCGGGUUGUAAACCUCUUUUAGUAGGGAAGAAGCGAAAGUGACGGUACCUGCAGAAAAAGCACCGGCUAACUACGUGCCAGCAGCCGCGGUAA